GAAUAACACAAAUGACUUCUUAGUCUUCAGGAGACCUACGAAGCCAAAAGACAUGAAUUCCAUGGGGAACGUCAGAGGAAGGAAGCAGAAAUGAAGCAGAUGUUUGUGCAGCGAGUCAAGGAGAAGGAAGCAAUACUGAAGGAAGCUGAGAGAGAGCUGCAGGCCAAAUUUGAGCAUCUUAAAAAAGUUCACCAAGAAGAGAGAAUGAAAAUUGACGAAAAGAGAAAAUGUUUGGAAGAAGAAAUAAUCACUUUCUCUAAAAAGAAAGCUACCUCCGAGAUAUUCCAUAACCCAUCCUUUAUGGCAUCAGGUACCCACCUGAAGAAGGACAAGGACCGUAAGAACUCCAACUAUUUGUAAAACAGAAGUUCCAGAGCACAGAAAGUCAUCACAAGCAAAAGUUAUUAAAAAGUUAGAAGUAUGCUUUGCUUUUUCUUACUGUUCUUGUUUUAUCACUUAUUCUGUAUCUGGCAAAUGGCCACAGUUACUGAUAUUUAUGGAAAAAUACUUUCAAGUAUAAGGUCAAUACAUAAACUGGAGUGGAUGAUGUUACUUAUAUAUUCACUAUUGUUAGGAAUUUUUAAGUUGCUGUUUUUGUGAUGAACCUAGAUCUUUACUCCUGCUGCCAUAUUAUUGUCACUUUGUAGCACUUUGUACCAAAGAGCAAAGUCUAAAUGCUAUUGGAAAUACAGAAUCUAUUCAUAUUAUAGCUAUAUGAUUGCAUUUAUAUUCCACGAUGAACCUUUUUUUAUACAUACUAAAGGAAGAAUUGGGUGAAUAUGUUUUGGAAUUUAUUAGAGCGCUAAAACUCUAACAUCUUAAUAGUUAUAUAGAACUUUUUAAUUUUUGAUAGAAUUACCCAAUUGAUAAUAUGAUUCUAACUAAGCUUUUGUGUCAAAUUAUAUAUAGCGUGAUAACCUUUCGUGCUUCAGUUUGCCUCUUUGUAGUUGAUAAAAAAAAUCCAGGUAUCGAAACACCUUUUUCUAGUGAUAAAGUACUCUUUAACCUGGGUGUAUCACACUAUUUAGGAUGUACUUGUUAUCUAAAACUCUGUUUUCCAGGGGAAAAAUAAUAAGGUUGAGUUGUUUUAUUAAAAAUAUUUUAUAAGAAAAUAACUAUGAACAUCUGAAUAUUAAAGACACAAAAAUUCAGAUAAUUCAUAUUUCCAGCGAUAUUUGCAUUCAGUGCCUUCGUAGUAUUCUCAAAACAUUUUAAUGGUUUCUAGCUUUUUUAUAACAGUCAUAGGUAUAUAAAUUUUUACUUUUUGUACUUGAAUGUUCUAAAUAAAACUGACUCUUAACUCUUGACAAAUAAAAUAUAUCUACAUAUUUACCAAAAGGUGUUUAAGUUACUUUAACUUUUUUGCAAAGUGUCAUCUUAAGAAACAUUUUAUCAAAAUUAGUCAUUUAAUUAUAUAAUUGGAAUAUUUUAAGACACCAAGGUAUUUUACCAGUAUUUUCAGACAGCAAAAUCUUUUUACUUAGUCUGUGUCAGAUCCUGAGCAGUGUAUUUUUCCAUGGAGUUUUCUAAGUUGUAAAUGAAACCUUUCUUUUCAUAACACAGUUUAUCUGAACACACACUUUAAAUUCCAUUUUUGCAUUUUAAACUUACAAGUGUGUCUCGUCCUUUUAAAACUUUAAUAAAUUAACUUGUGUCACAGAAUAAGCUCUGAAGUUUUUCUCAAGGUCAGCGAUGCCCAGGUUCUGGUAGGUGGGGAGCCCCUGAGGGCAGGUGGCCCUGUGCUCUGCGCUGCUGGAGCCACAUGCUCAUCCGAGGAGCUCAGCGACGUUUAUGAGUGCUUGUUAUAGGUAGCCAUGUUAGACCAGGCUGCAUGUAAAGCAGUUUUCUUUUAAGUGCCACGUGGGUUGUUGGCAUGGUAAACAAAGCCAUCCAAGUUUCUAGUUGAAAAGAACUUAACGGAAACCUGCCUUAGACUCUGGACUCCUCAGGAAGGCGGUCAUUUUGUACUGUGAUGAGUGCGGUGAGAGAGUCUCCUGCUUCAACCACAUGCCAAUUUUUAACUUAUUUUGUGUAUUUGGGAUUCUGUAUAAGAUUUUAUUUUAAAAGAGUUGCACUUCAAAAAAAUUUAAAAACAAUUUCACUAUAAAGUUCAAGUUCUUAAUAUAUUACAAAGCUAAUUUAUUCUCUGCUUUCUAACAAGGUUAGAAAAUGAGUUGUUAUCCUCUAAUGCUUAAAUUAAUAAAUCUGGCAGCAAAAUAAA